rnacentral:rRNA from 1 species
AUUGAACGCUGGCGGCAUGCUUUACACAUGCAAGUCGAGCGGCAGCGCGGGCUUCGGCCUGGCGGCGAGUGGCGAACGGGUGAGUAAUGCAUUGGAACGUGCCCAGUAGUGGGGGAUAGCCCGGCGAAAGCCGGAUUAAUACCGCAUACGACCUGAGGGUGAAAGCGGGGGACCGAAAGGCCUCGCGCUAUUGGAGCGGCCGAUGUCGGAUUAGCUAGUUGGUGGGGUAAAGGCUUACCAAGGCGACGAUCCGUAGCUGGUCUGAGAGGACGACCAGCCACACUGGGACUGAGACACGGCCCAGACUCCUACGGGAGGCAGCAGUGGGGAAUUUUGGACAAUGGGGGCAACCCUGAUCCAGCCAUGCCGCGUGCGGGAAGAAGGCCUUCGGGUUGUAAACCGCUUUUGUUCGGGAAGAAAUCCUCUGGGCUAAUACCCCGGGGGGAUGACGGUACCGGAAGAAUAAGCACCGGCUAACUACGUG